rnacentral:piRNA from 1 species
UGGACAGAAAGGGAGAGCUUGCUUGUCUU